AGUAAACACAUAAGAUGGGAGAGAGCAUAGGAAAGUUUCAAGGGAUGAGGAAGGGAGAGCUGAUAGACUUCUCUAAAGAAGUGUGUUCUUAAGGAUUAUUUGAAGGACUACAGCAGAACGAUUAGCAAUAUUAGCAGAAAGAACCAAAAGAAUAAGCAAACAAUGGCAUUUGGAAUCUUCUGUAACUAGGACAUUAGUCACUAUGGCCAGGGCAGUAUGUGGAAUGCUGAGUGUGGAAGCAAAAUUGAAGUAUCUGUAAGUAUUCAGUCAGUAGGUG